rnacentral:rRNA from 1 species
AGAGUUUGAUCCUGGCUCAGAUUGAACGCUGGCGGCAGGCCUAACACAUGCAAGUCGAGCGGUAACAGAGAGAAGCUUGCUUCUUUGCUGACGAGCGGCGGACGGGUGAGUAACGCGUAGGAAUCUACCUAUUAGUGGGGGAUAAGCCAGAGAAAUUUGGUCUAAUACCGCAUACGCCCUACGGGGGAAAGGAGGGGAUCUUCGGACCUUUCGCUAUUAGAUGAGCCUGCGUAAGAUUAGCUAGUUGGUGAGGUAAUGGCUCACCAAGGCGACGAUCUUUAGCUGGUCUGAGAGGAUGAUCAGCCACACUGGGACUGAGACACGGCCCAGACUCCUACGGGAGGCAGCAGUGGGGAAUAUUGGACAAUGGGGGGAACCCUGAUCCAGCCAUGCCGCGUGUGUGAAGAAGGCCUUCGGGUUGUAAAGCACUUUCAGAUGUGAGGAAAGGUGAGUAGUUAAUACCUGCUUACUGUGACGUUAGCAUCAGAAGAAGGACCGGCUAACUCCGUGCCAGCAGCCGCAGUAAUACGGAGGGUCCGAGCGUUAAUCGGAAUUACUGGGCGUAAAGCGCGCGUAGGUGGUUUUGUCAGUCAGAUGUGAAAGCCCAGGGCUCAACCUUGGAACUGCACCUGAUACUGCAAGACUAGAGUACAAUAGAGGGGAGUGGAAUUUCCGGUGUAGCGGUGAAAUGCGUAGAGAUCGGAAGGAACACCAGUGGCGAAGGCGACUCCCUGGAUUGAUACUGACACUGAGGUGCGAAAGCGUGGGAGCAAACAGGAUUAGAUACCCUGGUAGUCCACGCCGUAAACGAUGUCAACUAGCCGUUGGGACACUUGAUGUCUUAGUGGCGCAGCUAACGCGAUAAGUUGACCGCCUGGGGAGUACGGUCGCAAGAUUAAAACUCAAAUGAAUUGACGGGGGCCCGCACAAGCGGUGGAACAUGUGGUUUAAUUCGAAACAACGCCGAAAAACCUUUCCUACCCUUGACAUCCCGAAAACUUUCUAGAAAAUAGAUUGGUGGCCUUCCGGGAAAUCUUAAAACAAGGGGCUGCAUGGGGUGUCGUCAACCCCCGGUUGUGAAAAAGUUGGGGUUAAUUCCCCUAAAAAAGGGGAACCCUUUGUCUUUUU